UUGGGAACACUUAGUGCGAAGUGUCACUGAAAAUCAAUAGACAGUUCUUCUGAUUUACUGCAUAACCUUCAUCCUUCAUGAUGAAACAUUUCUAUCCUGAUGGGAGUGGUCUCUUUGAGGAUGACUCCACCCACAUCCACAGGGCACAAAGGAUCACUGGAUUGUUUUAUGAGGAUGAAAAUGAUGUAAAUCAUAUGCUACGGCCUUCACAGUCACCAGAUCUCAACCUAGUUAAACCCAACCAAGGGAUUAGAGAGUGCUCUCCACCAUCACCAUCAUCAAAACACCAAGUGAGGGAAUAUCUUUUAGAAGAACGAGCGUUCAUCCCUCUAGUACAGUUCCAAGGACUUGUAGAAUCAAUGACAAAGCACAAGCUCGAAACAGUUCUAGUGGCCCAGCACCUACUAACACACGUUAUGUUUUUUCCUUUAAUUUGUCAUCCUUUUUUUUUUUUUACAGGAUUCCAGUUCCUAUUGAAGGAAACCAAAAUGAAGGUCUCGGAGACAAUAUAAAUGAUAGGACUGUGAUUAACCUGUCUGCCUGUACCUCAACUCCUGCUAUGAUUCCUGGACUUACUGUGAUUCCUGGACUUCCCUUAAAAAGGAAGAACAUGCCUAUUUUACACACUUGAAUCCUGCCUCUUCUAACAGGGUGUAUUCCUGCUUCAUGCCCAGCGUUCCUGACGUAGACUCCGGAUCCACCGACGGCCCUGACCACGAUAAUGCGGUUACUGAAGAAUUACUUUUGCUCAAUAAUUUUAUAUUAAACUUCUCAUAGUAUUUAUGUGCUUAAAAGCAGACAUAUUCAGACAUAUUAGGCCUAGGGUGGUUGUAGAGCUGGGUUAUGGAUUACAUUAACACCUCACACAAUACAGUAGAAUAGGAAUCAAAUUCACAGAGCCAGAAAGAACUAUUCCUGAACCAAUGCAGCAUUCCAAUAAAAAUUCAAUGUCAUCAUUUAUGAAUUAUGUUGUAUAAUUUAAAUCCACACUGCACUCACUCACUUUGCAUUAUACCCUUCAGUACACACAAAUUGCUUUGUUCAAACUGCUGCUCUGACUAUUUACACACUUUAUAUCUUCAGGAAUACUUAUUGUGCACAGGGAUUGUUGUGUACUGUUUAGUGCAUGGAUUAGAAAUGAUUUACUUUUCAGUUUGGUUUGUUCGAAACAGCACACAAAUGCAACAUACAGGUUAAGACAUUAUAGCAUUUUGACUCAGGAACAAUUUAGGGAGAUUUUAUUCGUGUUUUUGAUUAUGCCCAAUGCAAUUUUUUCUCCUUGUUUGUUUUCAUUCUCUGUAGCAUUUCUAAUUCCAGGUUUACUGUAUUGUUUACUGUGUAGUUUAUAUAUUUUCUCUAUUUAUUGAACUCAUUGUCUUUGUAUUGACUCUGUCACUGUUUCAUGUGUGUAACAAUGUAA